CGGUAACAGGGGGAGCUUGCUCCCCGCUGACGAGCGGCGGACGGGUGAGUAAUGCAUAGGAAACUGCCCAGUAGUGGGGGAUAGCCCGGGGAAACCCGGAUUAAUACCGCAUACGCCCUUUGGGGGAAAGCAGGGGAUCUUCGGACCUUGCGCUAUUGGAUGUGCCUAUGUCGGAUUAGCUAGUUGGUGGGGUAAGAGCCUACCAAGGCGACGAUCCGUAGCUGGUCUGAGAGGAUGAUCAGCCACAUCGGGACUGAGACACGGCCCGAACUCCUACGGGAGGCAGCAGUGGGGAAUAUUGGACAAUGGGGGCAACCCUGAUCCAGCCAUGCCGCGUGUGUGAAGAAGGCUUUCGGGUUGUAAAGCACUUUCAGUGAGGAGGAAAACCUUAAGUUUAAUACGCUUGAGGCUUGACGUUACUCACAGAAGAAGCACCGGCUAACUCCGUGCCAGCAGCCGCGGUAAUACGGAGGGUGCAAGCGUUAAUCGGAAUUACUGGGCGUAAAGCGCGCGUAGGUGGUUUGAUAAGCGAGAUGUGAAAGCCCCGGGCUCAACCUGGGAACGGCAUUUCGAACUGUCAGGCUAGAGUAUGGUAGAGGAGUGUGGAAUUUCCUGUGUAGCGGUGAAAUGCGUAGAUAUAGGAAGGAACACCA
rnacentral:rRNA from 1 species